rnacentral:rRNA from 1 species
UACGUAGGGUGCGAGCGUUUAAUCGGAAUUACUGGGCGUAAAGCGCGCGUAGGCGGUCUUGUAUGUCGAUUGUGAAGUCCCCGGGCUCAACCCGGGAACUGCAGUCGAAACUGCAAGACUUGAAUGUUGGAGAGGUUGGGGGAAUACCUAGUGGAGAAGUGAAAUUCGUAGAGAUUAGGUGGAACACCAGAGGCGAAGGCGCCUGACUGGCCAAACAUUGACGCUAAGGCGCGAAAGCGUGGGUAGCAAACAGG